AACGAACGCUGGCGGCAGGCCUAACACAUGCAAGUCGAACGCCGUAGCAAUACGGAGUGGCAGACGGGUGAGUAACGCGUGGGAACAUACCCCUCGGUUCGGAAUAACUUAGGGAAACUUGAGCUAAUACCGGAUACGUCCGAGGUUUUAACCGGCCUCGGAGAAAGAUUUAUCGCUGAAGGAUCGGCCCGCGUAAGAUUAGCUAGUUGGUGAGGUAACGGCUCACCAAGGCUAUGAUCUUUAGCUGUUCUGAGAGGAAGAUCAGCCACACUGGGACUGAGACACGGCCCAGACUCCUACGGGAGGCAGCAGUGGGGAAUAUUGGACAAUGGGCGCAAGCCUGAUCCAGCCAUGCCGCGUGAGUGAUGAAGGCCUUAGGG
rnacentral:rRNA from 1 species